rnacentral:lncRNA from 1 species
AUCCAACAACAACAAACCACAGAUCAUUCACACAUCAUUCUCAAAUCACAUAUCAAAUCAACAAACAAUUAUUCACAUUAUUCACACAAUUGGAAGGAAAAAAGAAAAAAAAAAUCUAUGGAGCCUGCCACCGCGUGGCAUUCCGCGCUGGGCCGCCGCCUCCCCAGCCCGGCUCGGGCCCGGCCGCCGCCGCCUCCCCAGCCUAGCUCGGGCCUGGCCGCCGCCGCCUCCCUAGCCUACCUCGGGCCCGGCCGCCACCACCCCUGCCUAGCAUGAGCCCGCUGCCACCAACCCCGCCCGGCACAGGCCCGGGCGCUGGCGGCCGCUUCUCCCACGGAUCUGAGGAAGAGAAGAGAGGAAAACUUAACAGAAGAGUGGAAGAGGAAGGGGAGAGGAAGAGAUGAGUGAAAGAGGAAGGUGAGGAAGAGAUAAGGGAGAGAC